UAGGGAAUCUUCGGCAAUGGGGGCAACCCUGACCGAGCAACGCCGCGUGAGUGAAGAAGGUUUUCGGAUCGUAAAGCUCUGUUGUAAGUCAAGAACGGGUGUGAGAGUGGAAAGUUCACACUGUGACGGUAGCUUACCAGAAAGGGACGGCUAACUACGUGCCAGCAGCCGCGGUAAUACGUAGGUCCCGAGCGUUGUCCGGAUUUAUUGGGCGUAAAGCGAGCGCAGGCGGUUUGAUAAGUCUGAAGUUAAAGGCUGUGGCUCAACCAUAGUUCGCUUUGGAAACUGUCAA
rnacentral:rRNA from 1 species